rnacentral:rRNA from 1 species
AGAACGAACGCUGGCGGCAUGCCUAACACAUGCAAGUCGAACGAGACCUUCGGGUCUAGUGGCGCACGGGUGCGUAACGCGUGGGAACCUGCCCUUAGGUUCGGAAUAACUCAGAGAAAUUUGAGCUAAUACCGGAUAAUGUCUUCGGACCAAAGAUUUAUCGCCUAUGGAUGGGCCCGCGUAGGAUUAGCUAGUUGGUGGGGUAAAGGCCUACCAAGGCGACGAUCCUUAGCUGGUCUGAGAGGAUGAUCAGCCACACUGGGACUGAGACACGGCCCAGACUCCUACGGGAGGCAGCAGUGGGGAAUAUUGGACAAUGGGCGAAAGCCUGAUCCAGCAAUGCCGCGUGAGUGAUGAAGGCUUAGGGUGUAAAGCUCUUUACCGGGAUGAUAAUGACAGUACCGGAGAAUAAGCUACCGGCUAACGUCCGCGCCAGCAGCCGC